GAUGAACGCUAGCGGCAGGCUUAAUACAUGCAAGUCGAGGGGCAGCACGGUUAGCAAUAACUGGUGGCGACCGGCGCACGGGUGCGUAACACGUAUACAAUCUACCUUAAACAGGGGGAUAGCCUUUCGAAAGAGAGAUUAAUACCCCGUAAUAAAUUGAACGGCAUCGUUUGAUUUUGAAAGCUCCGGCGGUUUGAGAUGAGUAUGCGUCUGAUUAGCUAGUUGGUGAGGUAACGGCUCACCAAGGCGACGAUCAGUAGGGGAUCUGAGAGGACUAACCCCCACACUGGUACUGAGACACGGACCAGACUCCUACGGGAGGCAGCAGUAAGGAAUAUUGGUCAAUGGAGGCAACUCUGAACCAGCCAUGCCGCGUGCAGGAUGACGGCCCCUAUGGGUUGUAAACUGCUUUUGCCAGGGGAUAAAAUUUCCAUGCGUGGAAAACUGAAGGUACCUGGUGAAUAAGCCACGGCUAACUACGUGCCAGCAGCC
rnacentral:rRNA from 1 species